rnacentral:rRNA from 1 species
GACGUAGGGGACGAGCGUUGUCCGGAUUCAUUGGGCGUAAAGCGCGCGUAGGCGGUUUGGUAAGUCGGAUGUGAAAUCCCUCGGCUUAACCAAGGAAGUGCAUCCGAAACUACAGAGCUUGAGUACUUAAGAGGAUCGCGGAAUUCCCGGUGUAGAGGUGAAAUUCGUAGAUAUCGGGAGGAACACCAGUGGCGAAGGCGGCGAUCUGGGAAGAUACUGACGCUGAGGUGCGAAAGCGUGGGGAGCAAACAGG